UGGGCCUGGUGCUGACAAUUAUGAGGGGCCUAAUUACAGAAUCUUAUCGACCAAAAACACUAAAACAGUCAUACCUAUCAAGCGUUAUGUAUCUGGUGGAGAUGGUGCCAGAGGGAAACUAAACUCAUAGGAUGCAGCUAUAAGAAAACGCAGAUUCUCUUAAAAUAUGCUAAUCUCUCUCUAAUUAAUGCUUUAAUCUUUCAAGUAAAUCCAUUCCCCCUAACAGUAGUGUGCAGUGAAGCAGGAAGUCAAUGGGUGGUGUAAAAGGGUGGGCCACUGACACAAAUCACGUGACUAGAACUGCCAAAAGGAGUGAAAAUGCCCCAAAACAGGGCAUGUCUGCCCAAAGAAUUGGAAGGCCAGCCUGGCAUCAGUGUCCCUAUGUAUCACAGUGUCAGUUGUAACUGAUCAC